rnacentral:rRNA from 1 species
ACGGGUGAGUAACACGUAGGCAACCUGCCCUCAAGCUUGGGACAACUACCGGAAACGGUAGCUAAUACCGAAUACUUGUUUUCUUCGCCUGAAGGAAACUGGAAAGACGGAGCGAUCUGUCACUUGGGGAUGGGCCUGCGGCGCAUUAGCUAGUUGGUGAGGUAACGGCUCACCAAGGCGACGAUGCGUAGCCGACCUGAGAGGGUGAUCGGCCACACUGGGACUGAGACACGGCCCAGACUCCUACGGGAGGCAGCAGUAGGGAAUCUUCCGCAAUGGGCGAAAGCCUGACGGAGCAAUGCCGCGUGAGUGAUGAAGGUUUUCGGAUCGUAAAGCUCUGUUGCCAGGGAAGAACGCUUGGGAGAGUAACUGCUCUCAAGGUGACGGUACCUGAGAAGAAAGCCCCGGCUAACUACGUGCCAGCAGCCGCGGUAAUACGUAGGGGGCAAGCGUUGUCCGGAAUUAUUGGGCGUAAAGCGCGCGCAGGCGGUCAUGUAAGUCUGGUGUUUAAUCCCGGGGCUCAACCCCGGAUCGCACUGGAAACUGUGUGACUUGAGUGCAGAAGAGGAGAGUGGAAUUCC